GAACGUGAUGAUAGGUUUAUGUCGCCCCAGUCUUACGAUCCGUUUUGUUUUCCGAAACGGAUGAUGGUGAUCGACAUUUUUAUCUGAUUC
rfam:Musa acuminata subsp. malaccensis Doubled-haploid Pahang (DH-Pahang) genomic chromosome, chr2